rnacentral:misc_RNA from 1 species
GUGGGGUGACAUUCAGAAGAUGAAAUACUCCUGGAACGUAUUGCAUGAGGUGAUGAGGCUCACACCUCCACUCCAAGGAACUUUCAGAGAGGCCUUGACUGAUUUUACAUAUGCUGGGUACACUAUUCCCAAGGGAUGGAAGGUAUAUUGGACGGUAAGUACAACAAACAAGAACUCAGAGUACUUCCCAGAUCCUGAAAGAUUUAACCCAUCAAGAUACGAGGAUGAGAAAGCAUUUCCUCCAUUCACAUUUGUUCCAUUUGGAGGUGGACCUCGAAUGUGCCCAGGAAAAGAGUAUGCUCGGUUAGCAAUUUUGACCUUUGUGCACAAUGUGGUCAAGAGGUUUAAAUGGGAGGUACUUUCUUCCAAGGAAAAGAUUAUUGGUGAUAUGAUGCCUACCCCUGAAAUGGGUCUUCCAAUUCGCCUUUCACCACACUAGAAACCUAGUGUCUAUAAUUUUUUUUUUUUAAAAAAAAAAANNNNNNAAUUUUCAAUCGACACUUGAAUUUAUAAAUUUAUGUUCAAAAUAGUUUUAAUAUUAUUAAAUUAGAACUCAUUUGUAAUUAAAAAAAAAUUAAGGGAGCU